rnacentral:rRNA from 1 species
UACUAGAAUAUUAAAAGUUAUGGCCUUUAAAUUUAAAAAAUUUGGCGGUGUUUUAGUCUAGUUAGAGGAACCUGUUUUAUAAACGAUACAACACGCAUUAUUUUACUUAUUUUAGUGGGGCAGUUUGUAUACCAUCAUUAUAAGAUAAUUUAGGAGAAAAUAUUAUUGAAAUCAUAUUUGUGAGUAUAUUAGAUCAAGGUGCAGCUUAUGGAUAAGUAAAUAUGGGUUACAAUAAAAUUAAUUUAAUAUGAAUUAAGUAUUUAAAUAUAUUUAUGAAGGAGGAUUUAAUUGUAAGGGAAGGAGUAGUGAGAUUUUCUGAUAAAAGCUCUAAAUUAUGUACAUAUCGCCCGUCGCCC